UAAAAUAAAAUAAAAAAUCAAGCCACAAGAUCAACGCUAUUCCGGCAGCCAGUAGAUUCGCAGCCAUUAGUUCGCAUGCCUUCUCUUCGUCAACAAGUGGCUUGGGGAAGGGGUCAAGCGUAGGCACUAAACAGGCCUCUAUAAAUAGAUACUGUAUUAUUAUACUCACUCACUGUAAACCCUAGAAAAAGAACACACAAUUACAUACCAAAGUCUAUAUCUACACACUACCUGCCAUGGGUUUGAUCGGAAGUAGUUUCUCAUUCAUGUUGGGGACAGGGUUCGGAGUCUACGUUGCUCAGAACUAUGACGUCCCCAACAUUCAGAAGCUUGUCAACACAGGGCUUUUGAUCGCGAAGCACAUGGAGGAGAAUUAUCGGAAGCCGAAGAAGAGAAACGAAGACAAUUGAUUUCGAAGAUAUAAAAGACAGUCAUUGGAUUUCAGGUGUAUGUCUGUAUGAUGACGGAAGCUGAGAUUAAGAUAUACAUUUCUAUGGCCAGAUGUGAGUUUGAGUAAUUGCAGUUUGAAAGAUGUUAAAUUUCACGUGACAUAGUUUUGGAUCUAUAGUCUGUUUGACCAUGAUGGAUGUGAGCUAGAACUUUUGUGUUUUAUCCUUAUAAUUAAGCGAUGUCACAGGCUGCAGAUGCUGCUGGUACAUUGAUCCAUACGUUGUUUUGUUAAACAAUUGAGUCACUCAGGUAAAACAUUGUGUUAUUCGGUUAUAUAUUGAUGUUGCAGCUGAGCAUACCCAUAUUUCUGUUUCUUCUUUGUUUUGCUUCCAUGUGUUUAUCGCUUUGGGGUUGAGAGUAAUGACCCUUUCUCGGUCGGGAUGAGAAUUUGGAUUAAGAGAACUGGUUAACUAACCAACGCAGAUGAUGAAUCACAUAUUUGUAUUCAACUGGACCAAUCUACAUGUUAACAGCUUUUUUCUAAAGUGAAGUCUAUAUGUUGUUACUGUCAUUGUUCGGAAUUGAUACUUGUAGGCGACUUAUAGCUUUUGAUUAUUUUAUGCUGAUACAUCAUAGUUUUCCUUCCCUACUAGUUAAAGGCGACAUAAGAUGGGAACAAAUCUGGGCAUUCAGUCAUUAAGAUUUUAAGGAAUAAUCAUCAUUUUUUUUAGGAUGAUUAAUAUCUUGAUUGGUAAAACUGGUAAUGCAUGAAUGCUGUAAAUUCAGAAACUUGACAAAUUUACCGGAUGUUCCGAAAGUGACCAAAAUCUAGACAAUGAGAAACCUAUAUAUGAGUUCUCAUAUAUCACGCCUUUAUUAUAUAUAGGUUUUCUUUUUUAAUUGCGUCUUACGUCUAUCCCUUGUCCAUAUAUUGAGAUCCAAUCAACAUCUCAAUAUAGAAAAACCAUACAUCAAUACCAUAUAAUUAGAUUCUAUUUUCUCAGUCAGGCAUCCUCCUUAAUAGUUAUAUGCAGUUCACCAGAACCAGAAGAAGCCGUGUUACUGUUGGAUGAAGAAAUGGAAGCCAAGGGAAUUGUCUGUUUCAUUAAAGCACACCACUGAUCAAUAUGCGCUGCUUGAUCAGGAUCCAGAUUAGGAAGUUCACGUUGUUGUAGGAUUUCCAGAAUCUCUUCAGUUUCACCGAGAAGGCGGGCUGCGUACCGGACACUCUCCUCCCUUUUCUUUAUGUCACUGUAAAAGUAUUUCGUAGUUAUGACAUGUGGUAAGUUGGUGAGGCAUGCACCCAAUAAAUCAGCAAUCACAUGAGACAACUGCUCGAACAAUCUCUCAUCUGCCUGUUUGUCUCUACCCUUGCAGUCCUGCAGCAAAGUUUGGCUGAUUCUGUACAUUGAAUUUGCAGCGAUGAUCUUGUUGGGCCAGUUGAGAGGGUUCUUAAGAUCCCCUAUCAUGUUUGUCUUGAAUUCCAUGAGACUAUUUUUAGAUAUGUCAGUAAGUCUUUCAAGGGUCUCCUUGGAGGUUUUUCCUUCAAGAGCCAUUUUUCGGAGAUCCUUGUCUAGCCACUUGUGAUAAAGGUCAACUUCUAACCAAACCAUGUGUGCUGUUUUUCUGACGUUUAUCAACUCUCCUUCGGCAUUUAGAUUUUCCUCCACAAGUCUCACAUAUGAUAGACCUUCAGUUACACUACGUACCAACCUGUCCACCAUGUGUUUUUCAAUGUUAGGAAGUGCAAUGGCGAUACUUGUUAGGGUAGCCACCGGAAGAGUCCAACAAUUUGGAGGUUCUUCGAACUCUAGAGAUGGUACUUGGUUGCUGUCGAAUUUCGCUACCCCCUCAAAGUUGGUAGAUUUCUUUAAAAGCUCUUUUAGAUAUUUUGGCCUCUGUUUUUUACCCAUCUGAAUUAAAUAAUCUGUUGCAUCCCUAUCGUUCUUCAUGAUCCAUAGGGGUAAUUCCUCCUCACCUUCAAGAUGCAAAACAUAAUGGCUAAGUUCCAGAUAUGAACUGUGCUUGGACCCUGGUUGCGAUUUUGAUCUGGAGUUAUUGUUUGGUCCAUUAGAUUUGGGAUUCUUCCCAAAUCUCUUGCAGCAGUGCCAACAUUGCGUGAACUGGGUUAUGAAGGAAACGGGGAAGAGUAAAACUGAUUUGCUCACUACCACAAUCACGAUCUGAACUCUUAUGCAGAAGUUCAGAAUUGAAUUUCUUGUGACAUGGACAAGUUUUCUGCAUUUUUGUCCCCGAAUUUGUAGAGGUAAGGGGCUCUCUUUCCACUCAACCAGUUUUUGGAUCCAGUAUUUCUCUGUUAUGAACUCAGGUUUGUGGCUCUUGUCUUUUUUCAUUGCAUAUUGGAACUUUAUGGCAGUGAACCAUCUAAAUGCUGGGGAAAGUGUACCCAGUACCACUCCACUAGACUGAGUGAUGAGAAUCAAAUAGGUUGACCAUUUAUAAUCCGAAUUUAUUUCAUAAGGAUAGCUAAACAAGAAGCAUACUUGGACAGCGGCUUCCACUAGAAUGAGAGCAGUCAUGAAACAGAUUGCCCCAGAAGCAGAGCAAGUCACAGAACGUGCCAUCACAAAUUGAGGGCUACCUGUUUCUGCCAUAACGCAGUGUCUUUUCAUAUCUUCUUUUAGUUUCUCGACUCUGAACUUUCGAGUAUCCUCUGUUCCCUUAUUUAAAGCCAUUUUGUAUACCUCACCAUACUUAAAUUCUAGAUACAUUUUUGUCGUUGGAACAGCUAGAGCUGAGAAACUCAAUAUUACAAGCAAAACUAGCAUUAGAAACACGACUAAACUUUGCUCUGCCCUUAGAGCAUAAAUUACGCCUGUACCAAUUUGGAUGCAAACAUUCACAACCAUGGUGAUCACGAGAAUACCCAAGGCAGUUAUAUUCGUUAAAACUUCCCUGUCAUCUAUUGCUCCUAUAGAAGGCAUGAAAUUAGCCAUUACGGUAGACAGAAAAACUGUGCUUCCAAGUUUUGCAAGCUGAUCCAUUUUUCCUGGCAUUGGGUUAGUUAGAUCUACCGGCAGCUUCAUUGCUACAGAUAAUGCUGUCAGAGAAGUGGCAUUGAGAGUGAAACGUUUGCAUGGAAACCAGAGUUUUUUUUGGCGGAAACCUUGGAAGGCAUCGGCAGCCAUUGCAAGAGAACAGACUAGAGAUGCUGCAGCAACAUAGAUGCCAAUCCAUGGCAUCGUUAUGUUGUUGGGGAAAGGCAAGACCUUGAUGGUCAGAUCGCGUCUUGCUCUCAAGCCCUUGCUGCUAUGUUUCCUAUUGAUGAACUUAGUGAUGCUGAUUGAGGUUAAAAGCCUCCUGAUCUUCCAUGUAUCUUCUGGUGAAGAUUCUGGAAAGCAAGCUGUUUGGAGCUGUCUGUCAGGAGAUUGAUUUAAAGAAGCCACCCGACUUUCAUGGUGAGAAGACAUUUGUUGGCCAAAAACAAAUUUUCCAUCAACAUUUCAAUUGUUGGGAAAAGGUGGUUGUAUUUCAAGUUUAAAUCCUCUCUUUUUGUUGGAAUGUGUUUUUUAUGGGAAGUAAACAACAACCGGAUCACCCAUUCAAGAAGAUUUCAUAAACUCUAAUGUUUCUCAUAUAAUAUAUGCGGAUGAUGUGCUCAUUUUUGCAGAUAAGCUCCGUGCCUACUGCGUUGGCCAUCAACCAAGUGCUGAAAUAGUUUCACAGCCAGGCAGGUCUUGGGAUUCAUAAUUCUUUGUUGGAAUGAUCUGACAAUUUCUAAUAUUUUUCCUGGAAUCUAUGUAGGAUGACUUCCUGGUUUGUCGCGUCACUGUGUCUAAAUCCAACCUUCAACACGAAGGCAGAUAUUUUCGAAAUGGUUCUUUUUUAAGGGCCCUCAGUGAGGGUGUGGUUGUUCAUGGGCGUGGCGACGCAUAUGGAUGGUGGCAUCGCAUAAUGUUAAAAUAUGGUCUGAUGUUGAAUGUGUUGUUGAACAAGAAGGCAAUGCAGCGUUGUGUGUGUAAUUGUAUUGUCUUGUGUGGGAUUGCCAUAUCUCCUCUGACGUUGAAUGUAUUGCUGCCACUGAUUGUAUUCCUCCUCCAUUGUUUAUUGAAUAUUCUUGCUUGCCUUUAUUAUUAUUAUUUAAAAGUAAAUAAAUAAAAUUGGCCUACUAUUUGGGCUUCAA